rnacentral:rRNA from 1 species
GGUGUAGGUGGCUUGGUCAGUCAGAAGUGAAAGCCCUGGGCUUAACCCAGGAAGUGCUUUUGAUACUGCCAAACUUGAGUAUGGGAGAGGGUAGUAGAAUUCCGUGUGUAGUGGUGAAAUACGUAGAUAUACGGAGGAAUACCGGUGGCGAAGGCGGCUACCUGGCCCAAUACUGACACUCAGACCCGAAAGCGUGGGGAGCAAACA